AGUCACACUGGAACUGAGACACGGUCCAGACUCCUACGGGAGGCAGCAGUGGGGAAUAUUGGACAAUGGGCGAAAGCCUGAUCCAGCCAUGCCGCGUGUGUGAAGAAGGUCUUCGGAUUGUAAAGCACUUUAAGUUGGGAGGAAGGGUUGUAGAUUAAUACCUGCAUUUUGACGUUACCGACAGAAUAAGCACCGGCUAACUCUGUGCCAGCAGCCGCGGUAAUACAGAGGGUGCAAGCGUUAAUCGGAAUUACUGGGCGUAAAGCGCGCGUAGGUGGUUUGUUAA
rnacentral:rRNA from 1 species